GCCGCCGUAGCUCAGUCCGGUAGAGCGCCUGGCUGUUAACCAGUUGGUCGACGGUUCAAGUCCGUCCGGCGGCGCCA
rnacentral:tRNA from 1 species